rnacentral:rRNA from 1 species
AACGAACGCUGGCGGCAUGCCUAACACAUGCAAGUCGAACGAGACCCCUGACUUCGGUUGGCGGGUCUAGUGGCGCACGGGUGCGUAACGCGUGGGAAUCUGCCCCUGGGUUCGGAAUAACUCAGAGAAAUUUGAGCUAAUACCGGAUGAUGACGAAAGUCCAAAGAUUUAUCGCCCAGGGAUGAGCCCGCGUAAGAUUAGCUUGUUGGUGGGGUAAUGGCCUACCAAGGCGACGAUCUUUAGCUGGUCUGAGAGGAUGAUCAGCCACACUGGGACUGAGACACGGCCCAGACUCCUACGGGAGGCAGCAGUGGGGAAUAUUGGACAAUGGGCGCAAGCCUGAUCCAGCAAUGCCGCGUGAGUGAUGAAGGCCUUAGGGUUGUAAAGCUCUUUUACCAGGGAUGAUAAUGACAGUACCUGGAGAAUAAGCUCCGGCUAACUCCGUG